AUUGAACGCUGGCGGCAGGCCUAACACAUGCAAGUCGAGCGCGCGGCGGACGGGUGAGUGAUGUAUGGGAAACUGCCUGAUGUAGGGGGAGAACACCUGGCGACAGUAUCUAAUACCGCAUACCCUCAGGUGUGCCCAGAUGGGAUUAGCUAGUAGGUGGGGUAACGGCGCACCUCGGCGCCGAUCCCUAGCUGGUCUGAGAGGAUGACCAGCCACACUGGAACUGAGACACGGUCCAGACUCCUACGGGAGGCAGCAGUGGGGAAUAUUGCACAAUGGGCGAAAGCCUGAUGCAGCCAUGCCGCGUGUGUGAAGAAGGCCUUCGGGUUGUAAAGCACUUUCAGCGGGGAGGCGUUACCCGCAGAAGAAGCACCGGCUAACUACGUGCCAGCAGCCGCGGUAAUUC
rnacentral:rRNA from 1 species